GACGAACGCUGGCGGCGUGCUUAACACAUGCAAGUCGAACGGAAAGGCCCUGCUUUUGUGGGGUGCUCGCGUGGCGAACGGGUGAGUAACACGUGAGUAACCUGUCCUUGACUCUGGGAUAACUUCAGGAAAAUGGGGCUAAUACCGGAUAGGAGCUCCUGCUGCAUGGUGGGGGUUGGAAAGUUUCGGCGGUUGGGGAUGGACUCGCGGCUUAUCAGCUUGUUGGUGGGGUAGUGGCUUACCCAGGCUAUGACGGGUAGCCGGCCUGAGCGGGUGACCGGCCACAUUGGGACUGAGAUACGGCCCAGACUCCUACGGGAGGCAGCAGUGGGGAAUAUUGCACAAGGGGCGGAAGCCUGAUGCAGCAACGCCGCGUGCGGGAUGACGGCCUUCGGGUUGUAAACCGCUUUCGCCUGUGACGAAGCGUGAGUGACGGUAAUGGGUAAAGAAGCACCGGCUAACUACGUG
rnacentral:rRNA from 1 species